GCAGUGGUGUUUACAACUAAUUGAUCACAAUCAGUUACAGAUUCCUUUGUUCUUUCUCCACUCCCACUGCUUC
rnacentral:sRNA from 1 species